rnacentral:rRNA from 1 species
GAUGAACGCUGGCGGCGUGCCUAAUACAUGCAAGUCGAGCGAACGGACGAGAAGCUUGCUUCUCUGAUGUUAGCGGCGGACGGGUGAGUAACACGUGGAUAACCUACCUAUAAGACUGGGAUAACUUCGGGAAACCGGAGCUAAUACCGGAUAAUAUUUUGAACCGCAUGGUUCAAAAGUGAAAGACGGUCUUGCUGUCACUUAUAGAUGGAUCCGCGCUGCAUUAGCUAGUUGGUAAGGUAACGGCUUACCAAGGCAACGAUGCAUAGCCGACCUGAGAGGGUGAUCGGCCACACUGGAACUGAGACACGGUCCAGACUCCUACGGGAGGCAGCAGUAGGGAAUCUUCCGCAAUGGGCGGAAGCCUGACGGAGCAACGCCGCGUGGGUGAUGAAGGUCUUCGGAUCGUAAAACUCUGUUAUUAGGGAAGAACAUAUGUGUAAGUAACUGUGCACAUCUUGACGGUACCUAAUCAGAAAGCCACGGCUAACUACGUG